rnacentral:rRNA from 1 species
CCUACGGGGGGCUGCAGUGAGGAAUAUUGGUCAAUGGACGAGAGUCUGAACCAGCCAAGUAGCGUGAAGGAUGACUGCCCUAUGGGUUGUAAACUUCUUUUAUAUGGGAAUAAAAUGUUCCACGUGUGGGAUUUUGUAUGUACCAUAUGAAUAAGGAUCGGCUAACUCCGUGCCAGCAGCCGCGGUAAUACGGAGGAUCCGAGCGUUAUCCGGAUUUAUUGGGUUUAAAGGGAGCGUAGGUGGAUUGUUAAGUCAGUUGUGAAAGUUUGCGGAUCAACCGUAAAAUUGCAGUUGAAACUGGCAGUCUUGAGUACAGUAGAGGUGGGCGGAAUUCGUGGUGUAGCGGUGAAAUGCUUAGAUAUCACGAAGAACUCCGAUUGCGAAGGCAGUUCACUGGACUGCAACUGACACUGAGGCUCGAAAGUGUGGGUAUCAAACAGGAUUAGAUACCCUUGUAGUC